UGAAUACGAGGCACUAAGGUGCUGAAGUAGUGUAUGUCAUACUUCCAAGAAAAGCUUGCACUAUCGUAAGAUAAAAAUGCCUGUACCAUAACCGACACAGGUGGGUAGGUAGAGUAUACUAAGGGGCGCGAGAUAACUCUCUCUAAGGAACUCGGCAAAAUAACUCCGUAACUUCGGGAGAAGGAGUGCCUUAUUCUAUAAGGUUGCAAUAACAAGAUCCAAGCAACUGUUUAUCAAAAACACAGGUCUCCGCUAAGUCGUAAGACGAUGUAUGGGGGCUGACGCCUGCCCAGUGCCAGAAGGUUAAAGAAGUCGGUUAGCAAUUGCGAAGCUGGUAACUGAAGCCCUGGUGAACGGCGGCCGUAACGAUAACGGUCCUAAGGUAGCGAAAUUCCUUGUCGGGUAAGUUCCGACCCGCACGAAAGGCGUAAUGAUUUGGAUACUGUCUCGGAGAGGGACUCGGUGAAAUAGACUUGUCUGUGAAGAUGCGGACUACCUGCACCAGGACAGAAAGACCCUAUGAAGCUUUACUGUAACUUGAAAUUGAAAUUGGACUUUAUUCGCGCAGUAUAGGUGGGAGGCGUUGAUUAUAAUCUUGUGGGAUUAUUGGAGCCAUUAGUGAGAUACCACUCUUGUAAUGUUAGAUUUCUAACUUUGAAUCAUGAUCUGGUCAAAGAACAGUUUCAGGCGGGCAGUUUGACUGGGGCGGUCGCCUCCUAAAUGGUAACGGAGGCGUACAAAGGUUUCCUCUGAACGGGUAGAAAUCGUAUCUAGAGUGUAAAGGCAUAAGGAAGCUUGACUGUGAGACCUACAAGUCGAGCAGGGACGAAAGUCGGUCUUAGUGAUCUGACGGUACUGAGUGGAAAGGCCGUCACUCAACGGAUAAAAGUUACUCUAAGGAUAACAGGCUGAUCUCCCCCAAGAGUUCACAUCGACGGGGAGGUUUGGCACCUCGAUGUCGGCUCAUCGCAUCCUGGGGCGGUAGCACGUCCCAAGGGCUGGGCUGUUCGCCCAUGAAAGCGGUACGCGAGCUGGGUUCAGAACGUUGUGAGACAGUUCGGUCCAUAUCCGGUGUAGGCGUUAGAAUAUUGAGAGGAGCCUUCUUUAGUACGAGAGGACCGAGAAGGACAUACCUCUGGUGUACCAGUUAUCGUGCCAACGGUAAACGCUGGGUAGCUAUGUAUGGAGUGGAUAACCGCUGAAAGCAUCUAAGUGGGAAGCCCACCUCAAGAUAAGUAUUCUCAUC
rnacentral:rRNA from 1 species